UACGUAGGGGGCAAGCGUUGUCCGGAAUCAUGGGCGUAAAGCGCGUGUAGGCGGCUCGGUAAGUCCGCUCUGAAAGCCCGGGGGCUCAACCCCGGGAGGCGGGUGGAUACUGCUGAGCUCGAGUCCGGAAGAGGAGUGUGGAACUCCUGGUGUGAGCGGUGAAAUGCGCAGAUAUCAGGGAGGAACACCAAUGGCGAAGGCAGCACUCUGGGGACGGUACUGACGCGAGA
rnacentral:rRNA from 1 species